rnacentral:rRNA from 1 species
UACGUAGGGCGCAAGCAUUGUCCGGAAUUAUUGGGCGUAAAGAGCUCGUAGGCGGUGUGUCACGUCGGCCGUGAAAACCUGCAGCUUAACUGUGGGCGUGCGGUCGAUACGGGCAUCACUGGAGUUCGGCAGGGGAGACUGGAAUUCCUGGUGUAGCGGUGAAAUGCGCAGAUAUCAGGAGGAACACCGGUGGCGAAGGCGGGUCUC